UGGAAGGGCAGCCAGUAGUCUUAACACUAAGCCAUCUCUCCAGCCCCUGAGUGCUGUGGGAUGGCCUUUCUGUAUGCUGUGAAUAUGUGUUGGUCCCAUUGGCUGAUAAAUAAAGCUGCUUUGGCCUGUGGGAAGACAGGAUAAGAUCCAAGCAGGAAAUCCAAGUAGAGAUACAGGGAGAAGGGCAAAGUCGGAGAAAUGCCAGUGACCUGCCCAAGAAGCAAGAUGUAAAAGUACUGGUGAUGACAUUCAAAAAAGAAGAAUCAAAACCAAAUGGAGUGUGCAUUUCAGAACCAUUCAGAUAUGACCUCGGAGGACCUCACACCUUCCUUGAAGUCGGCUCUUCCUGGCUCCUUACAGACCAACCUUUGAAAUGAAGCUUUGCCCCAGAUGCAAUCGCUUUAUUGAAAAGCUGCUGAAGGCUCAAGAGGGAGCGGAGUUGCAGGAUAAGCCCUGAGGCCCCGGGGUGGGCAGGGAUUAUGAAAGAGAAACUUCGUGAUGUGCUUAGCAAUGGAAAAUAUAAUCAAUCUGCCAGAACAGA